CUCUGCCCAAAAAGCCCCAAUUUAACCUUGGCCUAAUCAGAAGACAAUCUACAAAGACCAAGUGGGAGGAAACUGGAGCACACGGAGAAAACCCACAUGGUCAUGGGGAGAAUACAUAUGCUCCUCACAGACAGUGGCAGCAGAGGUGGAAAGAACAACCAGAAGACAGCAGAAGAGAGCCAGGAGAAAUGCAACCAUGAUUGCUAUCACUACCACAACUACCUGGGUCCAGGACAGGACUGUAUAGUCAUCAAAGAGCUCACCAUUAAAGGAAUGGACGUCGUCAUCGGAUUUCGAAGGACAACUGAAGAAGAAUCUAAUAAAGAAGAUCAAUUUUAAAAGAAAUGUGAAAACUAUUAAGAGAUUAUGAUGUUGAAAAGGAAGUAUUAGAUAUCACUUUAGGAUUCAUGGUUGUGUUUUAACAUCUGCACUAGAGAUCCAGAUUGGAUGGGUGCAUGGUUAGAAAUGAUGUUUCAGACCUGCAGAAGAGAACACAGGCUCUAUUUGAAGAAUGGAGGAGUUGUCUGAUUUCUAGCACCAGGUUCUACAGUCAGUGCGCUCUUCAUCAGAUACAGCUCUACACCAGUUUGUUAAUGGCAAAUAUUUAAUCAGCCAAUCAUCUGGCAGCAACUCAAAGCAUAAAAGCAUAUAGACAUGGUCAAGAAGUUCAGUUGUUUUUCAGACCAAGCAUUAGAAAGGGAAAGAAAUGACUUUGAUUGUGGAAUGAUUGCAGGUGCCAGCCAAGGUGGUUUCUGUAGCUCAGAAACUAUUGAACUCCUGGGAUGUUCAUGCAUAAUGGUCUCUAGUUUACAGAGAAUGGUGCAAAAAAAUCCCCCCCCCCAAAAAAAAAAACAUCCAGUGAGUAGCAGCUUUUUGUGCGAAAAUGCCUUUGUUUAUGAGAGAGGCCAGAGGAGAAUGGCCAGUUGUUCAAGAUGACAGGAAGGCAGCAGCAACUCAAAUAACCACGAA